UCCCUGCUGGCUCAGACGGUAAAGAAUCCGCCUGCAAAGCAGAAGACCUGGGUCCGAUCCCUGGGUCGGGAA
rnacentral:tRNA from 1 species